UUGAAUUCAUAUAUGCGAAGGAGUUGUGCUGGUAAUGAAUAUUGCAUGUGCACACUCUGGAGCUAUAUAAUAUAUACACCUGUGAACCAACUGUAGUCAGGAGAAAUCCUAACUAUGAUUACCCUAUAUAACUCUUAUUGUAUGUUACAUAGAACGAUCUCAUAUUGAAACUUUGUUUUCUGACAAGUUUCUCUUAAUUAAAAUAUA
rnacentral:misc_RNA from 1 species